UACGGAGGGUGCUAGCGUUAUUCGGAAUUACUGGGCGUAAAGCGCACGUAGGCGGCUUUGUAAGUUAGAGGUGAAAGCCUGGAGCUCAACUCCAGAAUUGCCUUUAAGACUGCAUCGCUUGAAUCCAGGAGAGGUGAGUGGAAUUCCGAGUGUAGAGGUGAAAUUCGUAGAUAUUCGGAAGAACACCAGUGGCGAAGGCGGCUCACUGGACUGGUAUUAACGCUGAGGUGCGAAAGCGUGGGGAGCAAACAGG
rnacentral:rRNA from 1 species